rnacentral:rRNA from 1 species
CACUCCUGCGGGAGGCAGCAGUGGGGAAUUUUGGACCAUGGGCGAAAGCCUGAUCCAGCAAUGCCGCGUGAGUGAAGAAGGCCUUCGGGUUGUAAAGCUCUUUUGUCAGGGAAGAAACGGUGAAAGCUAAUAUCUUUUGCUAAUGACGGUACCUGAAGAAUAAGCACCGGCUAACUACGUGCCAGCAGCCGCGGUAAUACGUAGGGUGCAAGCGUUAAUCGGAAUUACUGGGCGUAAAGCGUGCGCAGGCGGUUUUGUAAGUCUGAUGUGAAAUCCCCGGGCUCAACCUGGGAAUUGCAUUGGAGACUGCAAGGCUAGAAUCUGGCAGAGGGGGGUAGAAUUCCACGUGUAGCAGUGAAAUGCGUAGAUAUGUGGAGGAACACCGAUGGCGAAGGCAGCCCCCGGGGUCAAGAUUGACGCUCAUGCACGAAAGCGUGGGGAGCAAACAGGAUUAGAAACCCCGGUAGUCCCA